ensembl:antisense_RNA anr-24 ncRNA
UCUCAGCUUUCUCUCGUAUUUCAUCAAUGGACUAAACCAUGCGCCAUCUUUUAUCGCAUGAACAUCAUCAUGCUCGAUCAACUCCUUCCAUCGACAAUAUUCCUCAUAUCGAGACGUCUUUUUCGAGUGAACAAGUGAAUCGAGUCCCCAAGCCAAGAUACGACUGUUCACAAAUGCUAAAGCUCGGCUUUUCAUCUGACCAAACAGCUCCGGAGCAUCUCUCCACUCAAAGUUCUCGAACCACUGACGAUCAAGAAGUCCCGAAAGCUUUUGGAAGUAGCCGCCUGAAAAUAAAAUUAUUUAGUUAUUUAAUUAUUUAGUCUCAGUGAAAAGAUUUCUUCGGACUAUGCUAUUGUGAACGUAUAGUUCAGUUCUAUUGUUUACUAUCCCUCUAUUAUUAUCGCAUUUCCCAUCUGUCUUUGUGUAAUAGAGGUCACUCAUCUGGCCUGCCCUCUUAGUGUUCUACCCCUUCAAUAUAUUCAUUCUAUACAUCAGCUGGCGAGUGAGAGGCGACCUAUAUCCUCUCUCUCCAUCCGGCCUAUUUAAUUAAUAAAUACAUGUAUUAAAACACUAUAUUUAACAAUCAUAAACAGAUAAUGAGGUACCAUUAUCUUCCGUUUAUACUAUCUACUGCUACCUUCCCUCAUCACGCUACAAAAACCAUUUCUAAUUAGCUCACAACACUUGCAAAAAAAAAACACAUUUUAAUGGUCUUUCCGUAUGGAAACAGCCUUGUGAUGCAUAAACGUGACUCGAGAAGGUUUUCUUUCAAAUAAAACUACCCACAAGGUGAGACGGAUCUGCGUUCGGCUGCUGCUCUCACAUGUGCUUCAAUCGAAGAAUUAUCCGCUGGACCAUUGGCUUUUUCGAUCCUAAAAUUUUUGCUCCUAACCAACUGUAUUUUUCUAGCUAGAAAUAAAGUUUAUUGAG